CCUACGGGAGGCAGCAGUGGGGAAUAUUGGACAAUGGGGGAAACCCUGAUCCAGCGACGCCGCGUGAGUGAAGAAGUAUUUCGGUACGUAAAGCUCUAUUAGCAGGAAAGAAAAUGACGGUACCUGACUACGAAGCACCGGCUAACUACGUGCCACCAGCCGUGGGAAUACGUAGGGGGCAAGCGUUAUCCGGAUUUACUGGGUGUAAAGGGAGAGUAGUCGGCAGCGCAAGUCUGGAGUGAAAUGCCGGGGCCCAACCCCGGAACUGCUCUGGAAACUGUGAGGCUGGAGUGCGGGAGAGGUAAGCGGAAUGCCUGGUGUAGCGGUGAAAUGCGUAGAUAUCGGGAGGAACCCCGGCGGCGAAGGCAGCGUACUGGACUGUAACUGACGUUGAGGCUCGAAGGCGUGGGGAGCGAACAGGAUUAGAUACCCUUGUAGUC
rnacentral:rRNA from 1 species